rnacentral:rRNA from 1 species
AAUAUUGCACAAUGGGGGAAACCCUGAUGCAGCGACGCCGCGUGAGCGAAGAAGGCCNNNGGGUCNUCAAGCUCUGUCCUAAGNGACNAAAUGGACGGUACCUUAGGAGGAAGCCACGCCGAACUACGCUCCAGCAGCCGGGGUAAUACGUAGGGGGCGAGCGUUAUCCGGAAUUAUUGGGCGUAAAGGGUGCGUAGGCGGCCUGUUAAGGCAGAUGUGAAAGGCUACGGCUUAACCGUAGUUAGCAUUUGAAACUAAAAGGCUUGAGUGCAGGAGAGGAGAGUGGAAUUCCUAGUGUAGCGGUGAAAUGCGUAGAUAUUAGGAGGAACACCAGUGGCGAAGGCGACUCUCUGGACUGCAACUGACGCCGAGGCACGAAAGCGUGGGGAGCGAACA